GGACACACAGACACAAUUCAUCUUCUUGCCAGGAUUGACAGGUGCUGUUUUGAUAAGCACGGGAACCAUCAGUUCAAGGUAUCAGUCUUUAGACCAAGUAGAGUUUAGAUGAGCAGAAUCUUUUAAUUUGUUGAGAAUUGUGAGAAUGACAGUUGCACACAGUUCCUUUUUAUUUUAUUUUUUUUUUUUAUUCUUUCCCUCUUCAUUUGUACCAUUUCUGUAUCUAAAACAAUAAAAGAGUUAGAUGUGUCUCUAGUACGGGGCUUUGGCUGUAGAAACUACACAGGGCAUUUGGUCCCACUUUGAGCAGUUGUCCUUUUAGACUCACAUGAAUUAAGGAAAUCCAAAAAUACAAAACAAGCUCCAGCUGAAUUUAAAUUCCAGGUUUCUGAGUCUAGGAACUUCAGGGACCUAAGAGGAUACCUAAAGAUUCAGAUGUAUUCUAUGGACAUCAGCUGUAAAAAAGUGCCUUCUUUUUAAUACUUAACAAUUUUUUAAUUCUUCAUUUAAUAUUUGGCUACAGUCGCCACCGAAAUAAUGUUACAUAUUUGGAGACUCCAUUGAGCUCUGGAAUAUCUGCUAGGUUAUUUUCUUUCUUGUUUAUUUCAUAAAACUAUUCCUUCGUCUGUUCAGAAGUUUCUUUUGGAACUGCAGGUGUGUGUUGAAAGCCAGAUGUAAAUUAAAUUACAACAUAUGCAGAAGGGAUCCCUUACAGAUGGAAAAUGCAUAUUUUCAGCUGACCUACUCCUCAGGUAACAAUGGGUGGGAGUAAAAUAUUUAUUGUAGACUAUGUAAUUACCAUUUUAUUAUUAUUUUUUAAAGCUUCAAAAUUGUAAUCAAACAGCAUUCAUGGGAUUGAGUUGCAGAAAAAGAGGAAUUGGAGGGAAAUUUUCAAUCAGAAGCAAGUUCAUUGAGAAAUAGGUUUAGGAACUUUCACCCAAGACGGCAGGUGUCAGUCAAGAAUAUAAUUCAGGGAAUCAAACUAUAAUCUGGAAAAUGGAGAGUCCACAUAAAAUUUUAUUCUACAAUCUGAGAAGAUUUAUUUUAUUUUAAUGACCAUCACUGGAUAGCUGUUUGGCCAGUUGUGCUGAGUAUACUGCAUAGAGUUUCCUGUGCUCCACAGAGGUCACUGGGAGGAUGUGACUGCUGGUUGACCCAUGAGCUGGAACCAGGCACUUGGAGGCUCCUCACCCCCACCUCUGUUCUUGGAAUGAAUAUCCUGCCCACAUUACUCACAGCCAAAGUCUUUUUCAAGAAUGUGGCCUGGAGAGAGCAACGCAUUGUUGAGAACCUCUGAAUAGUAGAUAUGGCUGAAGCUCAUGAAGGCCUCUAUAUAAACUUUUAAGAUUCUGGUGGGCCAUGCAGAGAUCUGUUCAUCUCGUGGCUGCCCAAGACAAGCCUCAGAAUACCUUGACUUCUGAGACUCUGGUUGGAAGCUUUACGUUAUUGCCUUCUGCUCAGGGAUCUACCUUCACUGAAAAUCGGUAAAUGCCGCCAGGAAAAAGCAGUAAAGAAUGUCAGGAUGUUGACCUUCUCCUAGGGAUCUGGGAGUAAUACAACUAAACUUGUUAUAGCUGGAAAUAAUAGCACCUCCCUCCUGAGUAUUUCGUUAUUUCUCUGAAUUAACACGUACCUUUUUUUUUUUUUUUUUUAAACUGCGUUCUUUUGUUAGUCUAUGAACUUCUGGAAAACGGGUGACUCCCUUUCACUUUAAAUGGCUUGAUUGAGACAAAAUUCACUGUCUGUAAAAGUACCCAUUGUAAGUGUACAGUGAUUUUUACUAAAUUUGUAAACCUGAUAACCACACCACAAUCAAGUUUUAGCAUAGUUCUAUCACCCCCAAAAGUCCCCUCAUGACUAUUUACAGUUAAUACUUGCUGCCAUCCUGGCCCUGGGCAGCCAUUGAUGUGCCUACUAUCCCUACAGAUUUACCUUUUGUAGAUUUUUAACGUAAAGGGAAUCAUGCUAUGUGUGGCCUUCUGCGCCUGGCUUCUGUGCCUUAGUAUAUAAUGUUUUUUGAAGUUCAUUUAUGUAGUAACAGAUAGUCGUUUUUAUCUUUUUUUUCUGAGUAAUAUUCCAUUGCAUAAAUAUGCAACAUUUUGUUUAUCGACUUACCUGUUCAUUAGGAUUGCUUUUAGUUUUUGGCUAUUAUGAAUAAUGCUUCUGUUGACAUUCAUAUAUAUGUCUUUGUGUGAACAUGUUUUCCAUUCAUGUUGGGUAAAUUUCUAGCAAGGAAUUGCUGAGUUAUAUGAAAGGUGAUGGUUAGCUUAAAAAAAAAAAAUCACCAAAUUGUUUCACAAAGUAGUGGCACAGUUUUACAUUUCAUUACCAAUGUAUGAAGGUUUUCCACAUUUUCAGUGACAUUUGUUAUUGUUAGACUUUUUGGUUAAUACCAUCCUCGGGGGUGUGAGGUAAUAUUGUCUUGUGAUUUUAAUUUGAAGUUCCGUAAUGACUAAUGAUGCUAAUCCUCUUUUCAUGUGCUUAUUGGCCAUUUGUAUAUAUUCUUUGGUGAAAUGUCUAUUCAUAUUAAAUUGGAUUAUUUAUCUUAUUAAUCACUUAGAAGUGUUCUUUUUAUUUGGGAUAUGUCCUUUACUAGAAAAAUGAUUUACAAAUAUUUUCUUCCAGAAUUUUACUUGUUUUUCUAUUUUUUGUCUUUUCUUAUUUUUUAAAUUGAAGAGUAGUUAAUAUACAAUGUGUUAGUUUCACAUGUACAGCAAUGUGAUUCAGUUUUAUAUACAUAUAUGUAUAUUUAUAUACAUAUGUAUUCUUUUCAGAUUCUUUUCCCUUAGACGUUAUUACAAAAUAAUGAGUAUAGUUCCCUGUGAUGUACCCAAAUCCUGUUGGUUAUCUAUUUUAUAUGUCGCAGUGUGUAUAUGUUAAUCCAAAACUCCUAAUUUUUACCUCCCUCCCCCUUUCCCCUUUGUAACCAUAAGUAUGUUUUCUAUGUUUGUGGCUCUAUUUCUGUUUUGUAUAUAAGGUCAUUUGUGUGUGUGUCUCUCUCUCUUUUUUUAGAUUCUACAUAUAAGUGAUAUCAUGUGAUAUUUGUUUUUGUCUGGCUUACUUCACUUAGUAUGAUAAUCUCUGGGUCCAUCAUGUUGUCCAAAAUGGCAUUAUUUCAUUCUUUUUUUAUGGCUGAGUAAUUCCGUAAUGUAUAUAUGCCAUGUUUUCUUGAUCCAUUUAUCUGUUGGUGAACAUUUAGUUGCUCCAUGUCCUGGCUAUUAUCAAUGGUGCUGCCAUGAACACUGGGGUGCUUGUAUCUUUUCAAAUUAUGGUUUUCUGUGCCAGAAUGAUCCUGGCACAGAAGCAGAAAUAUAGGUCAACAGAACAGGAUAGAAAGCCCAGAAAUAAACCCAUGUACCUAUGGCCGAUUAAUCUACGAGAAAGAAGGCAAGAGUAUACAAUGGAGAAAAGACAGUCUUUUCACUAAAUGGUGCUGGGAAAAAUGGACAGCUACAUGUAAAAGAAUGAAAUUAGAACAUUUUCUAACACCAUACAUAAAAAUAAACUUGAAAUGGAUUGAAGACCUAAAUGUAAAACAGGAUACUAUAAAACUCCAUGAGGAAAACAUAGGCAGAACACUGACAUAAAUCACUGCAAUAUUUUUUUGGAUCUGUCUCAGAGAGUACUGGAAAUAAAAAUAAACAGAUGGAACCCUUUUCUUAAUGGUGUCCUUCAAAGUGCAGCUUUUUAAUAUUAAUAAAGCCCAAUAUAUUGGUUUAUUUUCAUUAUGGAUGGUGCUUUUUGCACUAUAUCUGAAAGUCUUUGCCUUAUUCAGUGUAAUAAACAUUUUGUCUUAUACUUUCUUCUAGUUUUAUAGGCUUAGUUCAUACAUUUAUGUUUAUGAUUCAUUUUUAGUUAAUUUUUAUAUGUUUGUGAGGUCAGGGUCUACAUUUAAUAUAUUUCUUUGUAUGUGCAUACCCAAUGAUCUCAGCACCAUUUUUUGAGAAAACCAGCCUUUCCACAUUAGAUUGUGUUGGCAUCUUUGUUAAAAUGUAAGAGUUUAUUUCUGGAACCUUUUUUUGCAUUGAUCUAUAUGUCUAUCCUUAUGUUAGUACCACAGUCUUGAUUACUAUGGCUGUAGAGUAUGUUGUGAAAUUAGCUAGGGUAAAUCAUCUAAAUUUGUUCAUUUUCAAAAUUGUUUUGGCUAUUCUAUAUCCUUUACUUUUCCAUAAAGAUUUUGGGAUCAACUUCUAAAUUUCUGUAAAAAAAAUCCUACUGGGAUUUUGAUGAGGAUUGAAUUGAAGUUAUACACUGAUUUGGCAAUAUUGAGUCUUCUAUAUGAACGUGAGAAAUCUUUCCAUUUAUUUAGAUUUUCUUUACUUUCUUUUAGCAAUUAUAGUUUUUUUGGGUGGGGAGGGAGGCUUUAUUGUAAUUUUCAGUGUGUAAGUUUUAUAGUUCUUUUGUUAAAGUAAUUCUUAAAUUUUUUUUAUGUCAUUGUGAAUAGAACUGUUUUCAUUUCAUCUUUAGACUGCUGAUUGCCUAUAGAAAUAAAAUUAAUUUUUAUGUGUUGAGUUUGAACCCUGUGACUUCAGGUAUUAGUCCAGUAGAGUUUCUGUUAAUUCCUUAGGAUUUUCUACAUGUUUGAUCAUGUCAUCUGCAAAUAAAGACUGUUUUACUUCUUCCUUUUUA
rnacentral:lncRNA from 1 species